UUGGAGGGCAAGUCUGGUGCCAGCAGCCGCGGUAAUUCCAGCUCCAAUAGCGUAUAUUAAAGUUGUUGCAGUUAAAAAGCUCGUAGUUGAACCUUUGGCCUGGCUGGCAGGUCCGCCUCACCGCGUGCACUUGUCCGGCCGGGCCUUUUCUUCUGGAGAACCGCAUGCCCUUCACUGGGUGUGUUGGGGACCAGGACUUUUACUUUGAAAAAAUUAGAGUGUUCAAAGCAGGCCUUUGCUCGAAUACGUUAGCAUGGAAUAAUAGAAUAGGACGUGCGGUCCUAUUUUGUUGGUUUUUA
rnacentral:rRNA from 1 species